GAGUGGGCCCGUUUCGGUUUCCCCCAAUUGUGCCGCCGAUCUUUCGCACUGAGAAUUAGGGUUUUGAUUAGGUUUGGACCAUUGUUUGCACUUUGCAGGCGAUUCGUGUGCUUUGGAUGAUGAGAAUUUUAGAAAUGCACGUAGGGAGGCAGAGCAUUACAGUGUGAGGAUCAGUCAGACGCUGGAGGAGCGCGAGGCGAGGCCCAUUGUCCACUUGAGGAAAUUCAACGAUUGGUACCUAAAGAGCCUGAGUGAGCUGAACUUACGUGAAGACUUGGUGCACUAGGCGGUGAAAUCAGGAUCAGAGUAAGAUCCUUGUUUCUCAGCUUUCACGUCGCUAAGGUUGGACUGAUGCAGGCACAUAAUCCCUAGAGGAGUGGGAUUUGGCGUUCGUGUUGAGGAAGACAGGCCGGCCAAGUUCAAUUAGGAGGAACAGCAGCACAAACAAAGGAAAAAUGUACAUUAUGGAGGAUGACAUCGAGUUUUUCAGUAUCUGAUGUGAAUCUUAAGUUCCACCUUGCCUUUUCAACUUACUAGCGAGCAAAUAGGCAACUCAAUUUUUUUGAAUCUUUCGACGUCAUGUUUCUGAAGGAUUAUUAUUUUCCUGCACAACUUGAAGCGAACAAUCUAGAUCAGACCAUUUGUGCGUUUACACGGAUUGGUUUGUGUAAUUGCUAUGAGUUAAAGUGUAUACCCAUUUUCUUGUUAGGUGCCUAAAACAUUUGUCAUUUUUGUGUAUUAAUUUGUUUCAAGAGAUGCUCAAGUUUGUAUGCUGAGACUUUCAAACGGAUAUACCUAGAUUUUAAGAGAA